rnacentral:tRNA from 1 species
GGGGGUGAGUCUAGCAUGCAAGACGUCCAUGAACAACCUGAAACGGUAUGAUACUAGACUCAAAAUCUUGUAUCCGUGAGGAUGUGUCGGUUCGAGUCCGACCGCCGGUACCA